rnacentral:rRNA from 1 species
UAAUACGUAGGGGGCGAGCGUUGUCCGAAGUUACUGGGCGUAAAGAGCGCGUAGGCGGGCUCCUAAGUGAGGGGUGAAAGGUUCGGGCUCAACCCGGAGAGUGCCUUUCAUACUGGGAGCCUUGAGUGCGGGAGAGGCAAGUGGAAUGGUCGGUGUAGCGGUGAAAUGCGUAGAUAUCGAUCGGAACACCCGUGGCGAAGGCGGCUUGCUGGCUCGCAACUGACGCUGAGGCGCGAAAGCGUGGGGAGCAAACAGGAUUAGAUACCCUGGUAGUCCACGCCGUAAACGAUGAGUGCUAGAUGUCCGGGGUAUCGACCCCCCUGGUGUCGCAGCUAACGCAAUAAGCACUCCGCCUGGGGAGUACGGCCGCAAGGUUG